UGGCGGACGGGUGAGUAACGCGUGGGUAACCUGCCUUGUACUGGGGGACAACAGUUGGAAACGACUGCUAAUACCGCAUAAGCGCACAGCUUCGCAUGAAGCAGUGUGAAAAACUCCGGUGGUACAAGAUGGACCCGCGUCUGAUUAGCUAGUUGGUAAGGUAACGGCUUACCAAGGCGACGAUCAGUAGCCGACCUGAGAGGGUGACCGGCCACAUUGGGACUGAGACACGGCCCAA
rnacentral:rRNA from 1 species